ACUUUACAAAGGGCAGAACAAAGUCUUUUGCUAAAAUUAAACACUACAGAGAAUAUUGACAUGGUCUCUGUGUAAAGAUAAUAUGCACAUUCAUGAAACAUUCCAUAUUCCU